rnacentral:rRNA from 1 species
GAUGAACGCUGGCGGCGUGCCUAAUACAUGCAAGUCGAGCGAACAGACGAGGAGCUUGCUCCUCUGACGUUAGCGGCGGACGGGUGAGUAACACGUGGAUAACCUACCUAUAAGACUGGGAUAAUUUCGGGAAACCGGAGCUAAUACCGGAUAAUAUAUUUAACCGCAUGGUUCAAUAGUGAAAGACGGUUUUGCUGUCACUUAUAGAUGGAUCCGCGCCGCAUUAGCUAGUUGGGAAGGUAACUGCUUACCAAGGCAACGAUGCGUAGCCGACCUGAGAGGGUGAUCGGCCACACGGGAACUGAGACGCCGUCCAGACGCCGACGGGAGGCAGCAGUAGGGAAUCUGCCGCAAUGGGCGAAAGCCUGACGGAGCAACGCCGCGUGAGUGAUGAAGGACUUCGGAUCGUAAAACUCUGUUAUUAGGGAAGAACAAAUGUGUAAGUAACAAUGCACGUCUGGACGGUACCUAAUCAGAAAGCCACGGCUAACUACGG